rnacentral:lncRNA from 1 species
AACUUGUAAAGCAGGGAUCUAUUUCUUUGUAAGCUGCAAAGUAGGUAUCCAAUUUUAGUUUUUUCAAAAUGAUUUGACCACUGUCCAAAAAUCAUUCACUGGAACAGUCCCUGAAGGGCCACAGGACCUCUCCCCUUAUCUGUCAGUGGACAAAAGCUGCCACCGUAGCUCAAUCUCAGCCAACGGUCCUUGUAUUUCUCGCACUUGCCACGUGAGCUCUGGCCUCACGUGCACAGCACAAAUUCCCGUGGCCGUUCACAGGGCCCUGCGUGUCCUCGCCUGGCCACAGGCCUCCUCUUUCUCUCCCGCACCAUAGAGCAUACCAGAAUGAACAUGGGGAAGACUCAUGUCAAUAGGGGAUAGACCUGACUUUGCUGUAACAAUG